rnacentral:rRNA from 1 species
UACAGAGGGGGCAAGCGUUAUUCGGAAUUAUUGGGCGUAAAGGGCGCGUAGGCGGCUUGGCAAGUGGAAGGUGAAAUCCCUCGGCUUAACCGAGGAACUGCCCUCCAAACUGCUUGGCUUGAGACCGGGAGAGGUGAGUGGAAUUCCCAGUGUAGCGGUGAAAUGCGUAGAUAUUGGGAGGAACACCAGUGGCGAAGGCGGCUCACUGGACCGGUACUGACGCUGAUGCGCGAAAGCGUGGGGAGACAAGCGGG